GCCAGACUCCUACGGGAGGCAGCAGUGGGGAAUAUUGCACAAUGGGGGAAACCCUGAUGCAGCGACGCCGCGUGAGCGAUGAAGUAUUUCGGUAUGUAAAGCUCUAUCAGCAGGGAAGAAGAUGACGGUACCUGACUAAGAAGCCCCGGCUAACUACGUGCCAGCAGCCGCGGUAAUACGGAGGAUGCGAGCGUUAUCCGGAUUUAUUGGGUUUAAAGGGUGCGUAGGCGGAAUGCCAAGUCAGCGGUAAAAUCGCGGGGCUCAACCUCGCUCCGCCGUUGAAACUGGCGUUCUUGAGUGGGCGAGAAGUAUGCGGAAUGCGUGGUGUAGCGGUGAAAUGCAUAGAUAUCACGCAGAACUCCGAUUGCGAAGGCAGCGCACCGGCGCCCUACUGACGCUCAGACACGAAAGCGUGGGUAUCGAACAGGAUUAGAUACCCGGGUACU
rnacentral:rRNA from 1 species